UGGCAUGUAGGGUCAAAACGGA
rnacentral:siRNA from 1 species